ensembl:lncRNA
GAAGGAGAUGCCAGCAAAUUCCCUACGCCCCAAAGUACUUCCUUGGUGCUGCCUAAAAUUCCACCUAUAACAUUUAUUUUGGAUAAAAGCAGUUGUGUCUUUCAAAAUGCAACUCACCAGAGUUGAAGGGGACAGUGCUAAAAGAGAUAACAUGAUGAGCUGCUUUCAGUGGUCAUUUGUGUGUGUGCAUGGUUUAAAAAUUUCUGUGAAUUCAUAAAUCAUAUCUUUUUCAAACUGACAGAUCAGUUAAGAAUGGAUUCCAUGAAGAAGAAAAGAGAGAAAAAGAGAAGAGAAGAAGUCACUGCCAGGAUGAUUCACGUUGGGAAUAAGAGGCCAAACCCUGACUACCAGAAGGAUGGGCUGCAUCACACCUGAGACUUCAGCAUGGCUCUGAGUGUCACCCGUGACCUGUGAUUUCCUGAGCGUGGUGCUGGUGAAGUAUUUGUAAACAAAAUAACUACUUCAGAUGGACCAGAAGAGAGAAAGGACUGUUGCAGGUUGCUGAAGACAACCUUGACUGUGUUUUUUAAGGUAUGCCCACGUCUGCUAACCCCAGGGAACUAUUGGACACAACAUAUUUGACUGGUUUGCUGAUUUCCAGAACAGCCAAUAGUAGUGUAACUGAGCAGAGAAACAAUGCUGUUAGAAGGGGCAUGGUGGGAGUGAGACUGGCCCUUCAGUUUGCAUGGGACCUGGGUGAAGCCUGUGACUGCUGGCUUUCCCCUGCUUCCCUGACAACCUGCAUGACUCAGCAGAGGCAGCCAUAAUCCUGCUAGGUACACAACUCCAUUGACCUUGCAACAUCACCCGCAUCCCCCAGAGCAGCCACAGCAAGACUUGCUCAAGGAGAGUCUGAGCUCAGACAUGCUUAGCCUUGCCCCGACCUGAUGGGCCUUUCCUAUCCACCCUGGUAGCUGAAGACAAAGGGCAUAUACUCUUAGGAGUUCUAGGGCCCCACCCACUGCCAUUUUCUCUCAGUACUACCACAGCUGAUGUUCUCUGGAAAGAGCCACCUUCUGGCUGUAGGUCAACCAGCACAAACAUAGAACAUUAAGCCACCAAAGCUAAAAACCCUCAUAGAGUCCAUUUCAACACCCUGCCACCUCCAUGGGAACAGGUACUUGUAUCCACACUGAGAGACCCAUAGAUGGUUCACAUCACAGGACUAUGUGCAGACAAUCGCCAGUACCAGCCUGGAGCCGGGUAGACUUGCUAGGUGGCUAGACCCAGAAGAGAGAAAACAAUCACUGCAGCUUGGCUCACAGGAAGCCACAUCCAUAGGAAAAGAGGAAGAGUACUACAUCAAGGGAACACCCCAUGGGACAAAAGAAUCUGAACAACAGCCCUCAGCCCUAAACUUUCCCUCUUACAGAGCCUACACAAAUGAGAAGGAACCAGAAAACCAACUCUGGUAAUAUGACAAAACAAGGCUCUUUAACACCCCCUAAAAAUCACUCUUGCUCACCAGCGGUGGACCCAAACCAAGAAGAAAUCCCUGAUCUACCUGAAAAAGAAUUCAAGAGGUUAGUUAUCAAGCUAAUCAGGGACACACCAGAGAAAUGCAAAGCCCAAUGCAAGGAAAUACAAAAAAAACGAUGCAAGAAUUGAAGGGAGAAAUAUUCAAGGAAAUAGAUAGCAUAAAGAAAAACAAUGAAAACUUCAGGAAACAUCGGACACACCUAUAGAAAUGCAAAAUGCUCUGGAAAGUCUCAGCAGUAGAAUUGAUUAAGUAGAAGAAGAAAUUCAGAGCUCGAAGAAAAGGUCUUCGAAUUAACCCAUCCGACAAAGACAAAGAAAAA